UACAGAGGCCCCAAUCGUUGUUCGGAUUCACUGGGCGGAAAGGGUGCGUAGGUGGCUUGGAAAGUUUGAUGUGAAAGCUCAGGGCUUAACCCUGAAAUGGCAUUGAAUACUACUGAGCUGGAGGUUUGGAGGGGGGACUGGAAUUCUCGGUGUAGCAGUGAAAUGCGUAGAUAUCGAGAGGAACACCAGUGGCGAAGGCGAGUCCCUGGACAACACCUGACACUGAGGCACGAAAGCCGGGGGAGCAAACAGG
rnacentral:rRNA from 1 species